rnacentral:misc_RNA from 1 species
GAUGAAGAACGUAGCGAAAUGCGAUAAGUAAUGUGAAUUGCAGAAUUCAGUGAAUCAUCGAAUCUUUGAACGCACAUUGCGCCCGCCAGUAUUCUGGCGGGCAUGCCUGUUCGAGCGUCAUUUCAACCAUCAAGCCCUGCUUGCGUUGGGGUCCUGCGGCUGCCCGCAGGCCCUGAAAACCAGUGGCGGGCUCGCUAGUCACACCGAGCGCAGUAAUACAUCUCGCUUUGGGCGUGCGGCGGGUUCUUGCCGUUAAACACCCCCUUUUUACCAAGGUUGACCUCGGAUCAGGUAGGAAUGCCCGCUGAACUUAAGCAUAUCAAUAAGCGGAGGA